GGAUAGCUCAGUUGGUCAAGCUUGAGACUCUUCUCAGGGCUGUGGGUUUGAGCCCCACGUUGAGCA